rnacentral:ncRNA from 1 species
GUCGUUCGGGGGGCGUGGUGGACUGCCGGGGCCAUGUACGGCGGCAAGGAGAGGAAGCCGGUGCGAAUCCGGCGCGGUCCCGCCACUGUCACCGGGGUGCGAACCCCGGGAGCCAGGAACUCUCACCGCCGGUCUCGUCGAA